UGUGCAACCAAAAACUGCUUCUGCAUUAAUCUAACAGAUUCAUCUUGAAGGAAACACAGGUUUUUGCACAAAGCUGGUGGCACAGUUGAAUAUUAUACUCUCUGUGUUUAGCUGUACAGCAUUUAUCAUAAGGUGUGACGAAAUUUUACGCUGGUUGUCACCUACCACAACCCUCCUCCUUUAUUCGGGUUUGGGACCACUGUUAUCAAAGGCGCGCCUCAGGCGCAAGGCGCACCCCCAGGGGCCUCGGGGCAGCUGAGGCGCAAGACCUCACUGAGGCGCACCGAGGCGCGAGGCGCACCGAGGCGCGCCCCAAUGAGGCAAGGCGCUAGGCUGCUAGGAUUUUUUUUAUUUUAAGUUUGUCCAGCAGCCAGCAAAAA
rnacentral:misc_RNA from 1 species